GACAGAGGUGCCAAGCGUUAGGCGGAAUCACUGGGCUUAAAGCGUGUGUAGGCGGGCGAUCAAGUACCUUGUGAAAUCCCACGGCUUAACCCUGGAAUUGCCUUUAAGACUGCAUCGCUAGAAUCGUGGAGAGGUGAGUGGAAUUCCGAGUGUAGAGGUGAAAUUCGUAGAUAUUCGGAAGAACACCAGUGGCGAAGGCGACUCACUGGACACGUAUUGACGCUGAGGUGCGAAAGCGUGGGGAGCAAACAGG
rnacentral:rRNA from 1 species